rnacentral:rRNA from 1 species
AGCGAACGCUAGCGGCACGCUUAACACAUGCAAGUCGAACGGAGAUUGGUGCUUCGGUACUAAUCUUAGUGGCAAACGGGUGAGUAAUAUAUGGAAAUCUGCCUUUUUGAGGGGGAUAGUCGUGGGAAACUGCGGGUAAUACCCCAUAAGCUCGAAAGAGGAAAGGUCGAAAGACGCUGAAAGAGGAGUCCAUAUCAGAUUAGGUAGUUGGUGGGGUAAAGGCCUACCAAGCCGAUGAUCUGUAGCUGGUCUGAGAGGAUGAUCAGCCACACUGGGACUGAGAUACGGCCCAGACUUCUACGGAAGGCAGCAGUGAGGAAUUUUGGACAAUGGGGGAAACCCUGAUCCAGCGAUGUCGCGUGUAUGAUGAAGGCCAUACGGUUGUAAAGUACUUUCGUCGGUGAAGAUAAUGACGGUAACCGAAAAAGAAGCUCCGGCUAACUUCGUGCCAGCCGCCGCAGUAAUAC